AUGCCGAUGCCAUAAUUCCACACAAUUGUUUCGCUAGAGCAGGAAAGCUCAAGCAAAACCCACUAAAAGUCAGCUAGCUAUAAUUUAUGCACGCACACACACGCACGCCAAGCGAUAGUGUGUGUGUGUGUGCUUGGCUUUUUGGCAGUUUAUGCCUUGAGUGGUGAGUCCCGCUGCUGAUGAUAAGAUAAGCUUCAAUAGAGGCCCAAACUCCUUGUUGUUGGUAAUUGACUCUAGUAUACCACAAAAUUCCUUCAUACGCCAUUGCGAUGUAAACGCGAAAAGAACGAGACAGAGCCAGCUUGAGAGAGCGAGACAGAUACAAAGUAGUAAGUGUUUUAAAGCCCAAGUUAAAAUAUUGAUCAUUAUUGAUACCAAGCAAAUGGGAAAAGUUAUCGAGGUCGAAAUUGGUUCUGCAUACAAUAUACAAUAAUAUAUGAUUCGGACGGUCGGACGGAGGGACAGACGAACGGAAAGAUGGAGAGGACGUACAGAGGGGCUAAUGGGCGUACGGACGGACAGACGGGCGAAGGGAUGAACAGACGGACGGAAUGACAGACGGACAGACAGACCAAUGGAAGGAUGGACAGACGGGCGAAUGGAUGAACAGGCGGACGGAUAGACACACGGACGAGCAGACGGACGGAGAGACACACGCACGGAGAGACACACGGACG